rfam:Triticum aestivum genome assembly, contig: Triticum_aestivum_CS42_TGACv1_scaffold_433096_5DL
GCUCAGUUAGUAAAGCACAAAGCUCUUAACCUUGUGGACGUGGGUUCAAGCCCCAU